rnacentral:rRNA from 1 species
GACGAACGCUGGCGGCGUGCUUAACACAUGCAAGUCGAACGGAAAGGCCCUGCUUUUGUGGGGUGCUCGAGUGGCGAACGGGUGAGUAACACGUGAGUAACCUGCCCUUGACUUUGGGAUAACUUCAGGAAACUGGGGCUAAUACCGGAUAGGAGCUCCUGCUGCAUGGUGGGGGUUGGAAAGUUUCGGCGGUUGGGGAUGGACUCGCGGCUUAUCAGCUUGUUGGUGGGGUAGUGGCUUACCAAGGCUUUGACGGGUAGCCGGCCUGAGAGGGUGACCGGCCACAUUGGGACUGAGAUACGGCCCAGACUCCUACGGGAGGCAGCAGUGGGGAAUAUUGCACAAUGGGCGGAAGCCUGAUGCAGCAACGCCGCGUGCGGGAUGACGGCCUUCGGGUUGUAAACCGCUUUCGCCUGUGACGAAGCGUGAGUGACGGUAAUGGGUAAAGAAGCACCGGCUAACUACGUGCCAGCAGCCGCGGUGAUACGUAGGGUGCGAGCGUUGUCCGGAUUUAUUGGGCGUAAAGGGCUCGUAGGUGGUUGAUCGCGUCGGAAGUGUAAUCUUGGGGCUUAACCCUGAGCGUGCUUUCGAUACGGGUUGACUUGAGGAAGGUAGGGGAGAAUGGAAUUCCUGGUGGAGCGGUGGAAUGCGCAGAUAUCAGGAGGAACACCAGUGGCGAAGGCGGUUCUCUGGGCCUUUCCUGACGCUGAGGAGCGAAAGCGUGGGGAGCGAACAGGCUUAGAUACCCUGGUAGUCCACGCUGUAAACGGUGGGUACUAGGUGUGGGGUCCAUUCCACGGGUUCCGUGCCGUAGCUAACGCUUUAAGUACCCCGCCUGGGGAGUACGGCCGCAAGGCUAAAACUCAAAGGAAUUGACGGGGCCCCGCACAAGCGGCGGAGCAUGCGGAUUAAUUCGAUGCAACGCGUAGAACCUUACCUGGGUUUGACAUGGAUCGGGAGUGCUCAGAGAUGGGUGUGCCUCUUUUGGGGUCGGUUCACAGGUGGUGCAUGGCUGUCGUCAGCUCGUGUCGUGAGAUGUUGGGUUAAGUCCCGCAACGAGCGCAACCCUUGUUCACUGUUGCCAGCACGUUAUGGUGGGGACUCAGUGGAGACCGCCGGGGUCAACUCGGAGGAAGGUGGGGAUGACGUCAAGUCAUCAUGCCCCUUAUGUCCAGGGCUUCACGCAUGCUACAAUGGCUGGUACAGAGAGUGGCGAGCCUGUGAGGGUGAGCGAAUCUCGGAAAGCCGGUCUCAGUUCGGAUUGGGGUCUGCAACUCGACCUCAUGAAGUCGGAGUCGCUAGUAAUUGCAGAUCAGCAACGCUGCGGUGAAUACGUUCCCGGG